rnacentral:lncRNA from 1 species
GGCCUGUAAACAGACUAUUGAUGGCAUGGGUGUGAAUCUGAAACCUCCACUCCCUAUGACGUGGCACGAGAAGUAAAAAAAUGUGUACCCAAUGGUGACAUAGGCAUGACAUCUCCAAAUCAUGUUGAGAGAUAUCUUCCUAUGAAAAGGAAUAUCACGCAAGUAUGCCCAAGCGAAGAAGCCAAAAUUAGGUAAGCUUCCCCGCACUGAGAGAUGUCGUGUCUUAAGAGAUUCAUCAGGGUAUAUCAUAACCUUCCUCAACUUCGAUAUGGCGACGUAAAGGAAAGGGAUAAUCAAGACCGAUAUCUUCAAUAGUUCUUUUUGGUGGUACGAGAUUGAGUCUCUCUAACUGGAAGCUCUGAAAAUGACAAAAAGCACAUUACUUCAAGUGUUGGAGGGAGAAAUCGAUGAUUACUCU